UACGUAGGGUGCGAGCGUUAAUCGGAAUUACUGGGCGUAAAGUGUGCGCAGGCGGCGUUGCAAGUCGAGUGUGAAAGCCCCGGGCUUAACUUGGGAAUUGCGCUCGAAACUACGAUGCUGGAGUGUGGCAGAGGAAGGUGGAAUUCCACGUGUAGCGGUGAAAUGCGUAGAGAUGUGGAGGAACACCGAUGGCGAAGGCAGCCUUCUGGGCCAACACUGACGCUCAUGCACGAAAGCGUGGGGAGCAAACAGG
rnacentral:rRNA from 2 species